rnacentral:rRNA from 1 species
UACGUAGGUGGCGAGCGUUAUCCGGAAUGAUUGGGCGUAAAGGGUGCGUAGGCGGCCUGCUAAGUCUGGAGUGAAAGGUACCGGCUCAACCGGUACAGGCUCUGGAAACUGGCGGGCUAGAGAGCAGGAGAGGGCGGUGGAACUCCAUGUGUAGCGGUAAAAUGCGUAGAUAUAUGGAAGAACACCAAUGGCGAAGGCAGGUCUCUGGGCCGUUACUGACGCUGAGGAGCGAAAGCGUGGGGAGCGAACAGG